CUGUGGUCGAUAGAUGGCAACAAUGGCUACAUUUUCUUCUUGGACGGCCAUGCUCUCAGGUGUCCGGGUCGGAAGUUAUUCGAGGAACCAAGUUCCUUACCCUGUUUGAGAAAAUGUAAAAUUUUCCUCAUUGUUGCACAAAAUUUUGCUUAUAACUCGGUCGGUAUCCAACGGAUCGCCAAUCUUCAACCUGUGGUCGAUAGAUGGCAUCAAUGGCUACAUUUUCUUCUUGGACAGUCAUGCUCUCAGGUGUCCGGGCCGGAAGUUAUUCGAGGAACCAAGUUCCUUACCCUGUUUGAGAAAAUGUAAAAUUUUGGUCAUUUUUGAGUAAUUUAGCUAAAUUUAUAAAUGUGAUAUAUUUUCAUGCAAAUUUGUUGCAAUGUGAUUCUUUUCACUCAAAUAAUGCUUUAAAUUAAAAAUAGAAUAAAAAAUCAGAAAAAAAAUUUUAAAAAAUUUUCAACUCGAAAAUUUCAUAAGGCUUACCCCUUACGUUUUUUUUGAGAAAUUUUGCAAAAAAAAUGAAAUUGAUUUAUUUUAAUGCCAAUUGGUUGCAAUGUGUUUCUUUUCACUCAAGUAAUGAUUUAAAUAAAAAAAUAGUGCAAAAUAAUAAAAAAAUCAAAAAAUUCAAAAAAAGAAAAUUUACUAAGGCUCAUUUUUGCACCAAGUUUUGCCUAUAACUCGGUCCGUAUCCAACGGAUCGCCAAUCUUUAACCUGUGGUCGAUAGAUGGCAACAAUGGCUACAUUUUCUUCUUGGACGGCCAUGCUCUCAGGUGUCCGGGUCGGAAGUUAUUCGAGGAACCAAGUUCCUUACCCUGUUUGAGAAAAUGUAAAAUUUUCCUCAUUGUUGCACAAAAUUUUGCUUAUAACUCGGUCGGUAUCCAACGGAUCGCUAAUCUUUAACCUGUGGUCGAUAGAUGGCAUCAAUGGCUACAUUUUCUUCUUGGACAGCCAUGCUCUCAGGUGUCCGGGCCGGAAGUUAUUCGAGGAACCAAGUUCCUUCCCCUGUUUGAGAAAAUGUAAGAUUUUGGUCUUUUUUGAGCAAUUUAGCAAAAUUUAUAAAUGUGAUAUAUUUUCAUGCAAAUUUGUUGCAAUGUGUUUCUUUUCACUCAAAUAAUGCUUUAAAUUAAAAAUAGAAUAAAAAAUCACAAAAAAAAUUUACAAAAAUUUUCAACUCGAAAAUUUCAUAAGGCUUACCCCUUACGUUUUUUUGAGAAUUUUUGCAAAAAAAAUGAAAUUGUUUUAUUCUAAUGCCAAUCGGUUGCAAUGUGUUUCUUUUCACUCAAGUAAUGCUUUAAAUGAAAAAAAGAGUGAAAAAUAAUAAAAAAAAUCAAAAAAUUCAAAAAAAGAAAAUUUACUAAGGCUCAUUUUUGCACCAAGUUUUGCCUAUAACUCGGUCCGUAUCCAACGGAUCGCCAAUCUUUAACCUGUGGUCGAUAGAUGACAACAAUGGCUACAUUUUCUUCUUGGACGGCCAUGCUCUCAGGUGUCCGCGCCGGAAGUUAUUCGAGGAACCAAGUUCCUUACCCUGUUUGAGAAAAUGUAAAAUUUUCCUCUUUGUUGCACCCAGUUUUGCCUAUAACUCGGUCCGUAUCCAACGGAUUGCCAAUCUUUAACCUGUGGUCGAUAGAUGGCAUCAAUGGCUACAUUUUCUUCUUGGACAGCCAUGCUCUCAGGUGUCCGGGCCGGAAGUUAUUCGAGGAACCAAGUUCCUUACCCUGUUUGAGAAAAUGUAAAAUUUUGGUCAUUUUUGAGUAAUUUAGCUAAAUUUAUAAAUGUGAUAUAUUUUCAUGCAAAUUUGUUGCAAUGUGAUUCUUUUCACUCAAAUAAUGCUUUAAAUUAAAAAUAGAAUAAAAAAUCAGAAAAAAAAUUUUAAAAAAUUUUCAACUCGAAAAUUUCAUAAGGCUUACCCCUUACGUUUUUUUUGAGAAAUUUUGCAAAAAAAAUGAAAUUGAUUUAUUUUAAUGCCAAUUGGUUGCAAUGUGUUUCUUUUCACUCAAGUAAUGAUUUAAAUAAAAAAAUAGUGCAAAAUAAUAAAAAAAUCAAAAAAUUCAAAAAAAGAAAAUUUACUAAGGCUCAUUUUUGCACCAAGUUUUGCCUAUAACUCGGUCCGUAUCCAACGGAUCGCCAAUCUUUAACCUGUGGUCGAUAGAUGGCAACAAUGGCUACAUUUUCUUCUUGGACGGCCAUGCUCUCAGGUGUCCGGGUCGGAAGUUAUUCGAGGAACCAAGUUCCUUACCCUGUUUGAGAAAAUGUAAAAUUUUCCUCAUUGUUGCACAAAAUUUUGCUUAUAACUCGGUCGGUAUCCAACGGAUCGCUAAUCUUUAACCUGUGGUCGAUAGAUGGCAUCAAUGGCUACAUUUUCUUCUUGGACAGCCAUGCUCUCAGGUGUCCGGGCCGGAAGUUAUUCGAGGAACCAAGUUCCUUCCCCUGUUUGAGAAAAUGUAAGAUUUUGGUCUUUUUUGAGCAAUUUAGCAAAAUUUAUAAAUGUGAUAUAUUUUCAUGCAAAUUUGUUGCAAUGUGUUUCUUUUCACUCAAAUAAUGCUUUAAAUUAAAAAUAGAAUAAAAAAUCAGAAAAAAAAAAUUAAAAAAUUUUCAACUCGAAAAUUUCAUAAGGCUUACCCCUUACGUUUUUUUUGAGAAAUUUUGCAAAAAAAAUGAAAUUGAUUUAUUUUAAUGCCAAUUGGUUGCAAUGUGUUUCUUUUCACUCAAGUAAUGAUUUAAAUAAAAAAAUAGUGCAAAAUAAUAAAAAAAUCAAAAAAUUCAAAAAAAAGAAAAUUUACUAAGGCUCAUUUUUGCACCAAGUUUUGCUUAUAACUCGGUCUGUAUCCAACGGAUCGCCAAUCUUUAACCUGUGGUCGAUAGAUGGCAACAAUGGCUACAUUUUCUUCUUGGACAGCCAUGCUCUCAGGUGUCCGGGCCGGAAGUUAUUCGAGGAACCAAGUUCCUUACCCUGUUUGAGAAAAUGUAAAAUUUUGGUCAUUUUUGAGUAAUUUAGCUAAAUUUAUAAAUGUGAUAUAUUUUCAUGCAAAUUUGUUGCAAUGUGUUUCUUUUCACUCAAAUAAUGCUUUAAAUUAAAAAUAGAAUAAAAAAUCACAAAAAAAAUUUUAAAAAAUUUUCAAGUCGAAAAUUUCAUAAGGCUUACCCCUUACGUUUUUUUGGGAAAUUUUGCAAAAAAAAUGAAAUUGAUUUAUUUUAAUGCCAAUUGGUUGCAAUGUGUUUCUUUUCACUCAAGUAAUGAUUUAAAUAAAAAAAUAGUGCAAAAUAAUAAAAAAAUCAAAAAAUUAAAAAAAAAAAGAAAAUUUACUAAGGCUCAUUUUUGCACCAAGUUUUGCCUAUAACUCGGUCCGUAUCCAACGGAUCGCCAAUCUUCAACCUGUGGUCGAUAGAUGGCAUCAAUGGCUACAUUUUCUUUUUGGACAGUCAUGCUCUCAGGUGUCCGGGCCGGAAGUUAUUCGAGGAACCAAGUUCCUUACCCUGUUUGAGAAAAUGUAAAAUUUUGGUCAUUUUUGAGUAAUUUAGCUAAAUUUAUAAAUGUGAUAUAUUUUCAUGCAAAUUUGUUGCAAUGUGAUUCUUUUCACUCAAAUAAUGCUUUAAAUUAAAAAUAGAAUAAAAAAUCAGAAAAAAAAUUUUAAAAAAUUUUCAACUCGAAAAUUUCAUAAGGCUUACCCCUUACGUUUUUUUGAGAAAUUUUGCAAAAAAAAUGAAAUUGAUUUAUUUUAAUGCCAAUUGGUUGCAAUGUGUUUCUUUUCACUCAAGUAAUGAUUUAAAUAAAAAAAUAGUGCAAAAUAAUAAAAAAAUCAAAAAAUUCAAAAAAAAGAAAAUUUACUAAGGCUCAUUUUUGCACCAAGUUUUGCCUAUAACUCGGUCCGUAUCCAACGGAUCGCCAAUCUUUAACCUGUGGUCGAUAGAUGGCAACAAUGGCUACAUUUUCUUCUUGGACGGCCAUGCUCUCAGGUGUCCGGGUCGGAAGUUAUUCGAGGAACCAAGUUCCUUACCCUGUUUGAGAAAAUGUAAAAUUUUCCUCAUUGUUGCACAAAAUUUUGCUUAUAACUCGGUCGGUAUCCAACGGAUCGCUAAUCUUUAACCUGUGGUCGAUAGAUGGCAUCAAUGGCUACAUUUUCUUCUUGGACAGCCAUGCUCUCAGGUGUCCGGGCCGGAAGUUAUUCGAGGAACCAAGUUCCUUCCCCUGUUUGAGAAAAUGUAAGAUUUUGGUCUUUUUUGAGCAAUUUAGCAAAAUUUAUAAAUGUGAUAUAUUUUCAUGCAAAUUUGUUGCAAUGUGUUUCUUUUCACUCAAAUAAUGCUUUAAAUUAAAAAUAGAAUAAAAAAUCACAAAAAAAAUUUUAAAAAAUUUUCAACUCGAAAAUUUCAUAAGGCUUACCCCUUACGUUUUUUUUGGGAAAUUUUGCAAAAAAAAAUGAAAUUGAUUUAUUUUAAUGCCAAUUGGUUGCAAUGUGUUUCUUUUCACUCAAGUAAUGAUUUAAAUAAAAAAAAUAGUGCAAAAUAAUAAAAAAAAUCAAAAAAUUCAAAAAAAGAAAAUUUACUAAGGCUCAUUUUUGCACCAAGUUUUGCCUAUAACUCGGUCCGUAUCCAACGGAUCGCCAAUCUUUAACCUGUGGUCGAUAGAUGGCAUCAAUGGCUACAUUUUCUUCUUGGACGGCCAUGCUCUCAGGUGUUCGGGUCGGAAUUUAUUCGAGGAACCAAGUUCCUUACCCUGUUUGAGAAAAUGUAAAAUUUUCCUCAUUGUUGCACAAAAUUUUGCUUAUAACUCGGUCGGUAUCCAACGGAUCGCUAAUCUUUAACCUGUGGUCGAUAGAUGGCAUCAAUGGCUACAUUUUCUUCUUGGACAGCCAUGCUCUCAGGUGUCCGGGCCGGAAGUUAUUCGAGGAACCAAGUUCCUUCCCCUGUUUGAGAAAAUGUAAGAUUUUGGUCUUUUUUGAGCAAUUUAGCAAAAUUUAUAAAUGUGAUAUAUUUUCAUGCAAAUUUGUUGCAAUGUGUUUCUUUUCACUCAAAUAAUGCUUUAAAUUAAAAAUAGAAUAAAAAAUCAGAAAAAAAAUUUUAAAAAAUUUUCAACUCGAAAAUUUCAUAAGGCUUACCCCUUCCGUUUUUUUGAGAAUUUUUGCAAAAAAAAUGAAAUUGUUUUAUUCUAAUGCCAAUCGGUUGCAAUGUGUUUCUUUUCACUCAAGUAAUGCUUUAAAUGAAAAAAAGAGUGAAAAAUAAUAAAAAAAAUCAAAAAAUUCAAAAAAAGAAAAUUUACUAAGGCUCAUUUUUGCACCAAGUUUUGCCUAUAACUCGGUCCGUAUCCAACGGAUCGCCAAUCUUUAACCUGUGGUCGAUAGAUGACAACAAUGGCUACAUUUUCUUCUUGGACGGCCAUGCUCUCAGGUGUCCGCGCCGGAAGUUAUUCGAGGAACCGAGUUCCUUACCCUGUUUGAGAAAAUGUAAAAUUUUCCUCUUUGUUGCACCCAGUUUUGCCUAUAACUCGGUCCGUAUCCAACGGAUUGCCAAUCUUUAACCUGUGGUCGAUAGAUGGCAACAAUGGCUACAUUUUCUUCUUGGACAGCCAUGCUCUCAGGUGUCCGGGCCGGAAGUUAUUCGAGGAACCAAGUUCCUUACCCUGUUUGAGAAAAUGUAAAAUUUUCC